GGUAAGCAAUAGCGGCGUUGCAAAAAAUCAUUUUACUUUAAAAAAAAUUGUAUCAUUUUAUCCCCAAAAUUUCCCCCUAAAACCCUUAAUUUUUCCCCCUAAAAUCGGUAUCCUCAAAACACCCUUUAGGUGUUUCUCUCCGCCACCACCGUUUUCAUCAUCAUCGUUCCCCUACUUUUGCUACUUUAAGCUCCCCUUCUUCUCAACCACCCUCAUCAAUAGCAGUAACUCCUCCUCCUCCUACUUCAGCUUGUACAAGUCGACGAUAAAAAAACAAAAAUUUUGAAUUCUUACUGAGCAAGCCAAAAUAGGAGUUCACGCUCUAUGGGAACUGCUAGCUCCCGUCGGCUACCACGUGUCCGUCAAAACCCUAGCCGGAAAGAAACUCGCCAUCUGUGAAAUCUGAAUCCCUAACACUUGUAAUUUUAAAUUGUUUUAACAAAUUAUUUACUUUGUGCGUGUUAUGGCACAUAAUUAUGGAUUAAAAUAAUUGUUAAUUUCUGUUUAUUUCUGUUAAAAUUGUUAUACAAAAACGGUACGUUUUGGGUGGGAUUUUUGUAACUGAAUGACAGCUGUUAAGGCCGUUAUUCCUCCUCCUCUUCUUUUAGCACCUGGUGCAUGCUGAGUUUAAUUUUUUUUAUGCAAUUACAGUAUUAUUCUCUCAACUCUUCCUUCUCUCUUCUCUGCUACUCUCUUCUUCUUUUCCCCCCAAUCUUCCUCCUCUUCUUCUAAAAUUGACCGCUCGCACCAGUGCGUGUGUGUGUUUUGUUUUUGAAGAUGCAAGUAUUUGGAUGGUUCAAUUCAAGAAAGCGAUGCGAGAUGAGAAGGGAGAAAUGAUUCGAAAAGCGCAUUUUUUAGGAGAAUUUGCAAGCUUUUAUAUCUAAAAACUAAUUAAACCUGUUUUCGUCUUCGACGGUGCCACACCUAUUCCCAAGCGCCGCACCAUCAUUGCUCGACGUCGACAGAGAGAAAACGCUCGGGCUAAUAUCCGUAAAACGGCUGAAAAAUUGCUCCUAAAUCAACUAAAGCAAAUGAGACUGAAAGAGUUGGCAAAGAAUCUUGACGGCCAGAGGAAAAUGCAGAAGAAUAAUAAUUAGGAUAAGGAUAUGGAAAUGCUAAUGUUUGGAAGAUCUUUACCGACCUUUUUGACUAUUUUCCAUUAACUGCUUUGGUGGGUAGAACUGAUAUAAGGAAGCGGCUUGAUUCAUCUCUUCAAGAUUUGGAAGAGGAACAACACAACAAGAGAGAAGCGAUAUUGAAGGUGUAGCAGAGGAUUCAAUCUCUUCAAGCUGGAAAAGCUAAGGCUUAGCACUUCUUCAAGUGGAAGGUUAUUUAGUGUUUCAUUCCAUGGUCGUUUAUCUUAGUUGGAACUUGAAUUUGGUGUUAUUGAAACUGGGUUUUGUAGCUACCUUGUAUACUAGCUUCUUUAACCAUGAUUGUUAAUUAUUACGUGUUUUGCAGUUUCUUUUAUAAUUGGCUGAGUUAAUAUAGAUCAGAUGAGCUGUGAGGUAAAUUGCUCAUUUAUUUGAACAUAA